rnacentral:rRNA from 1 species
GUAUAAGAGACAGCAGCAGCCGCGGGAAUACGUAGGGUGCAAGCGUUAAUCGGAAUUACUGGGCGUAAAGCGUGCGCAGGCGGAUAUUUAAGUCAGGGGUGAAAUCCCGCAGCUCAACUGCGGAACUGCCUUUGAUACUGGGUAUCUUGAGUAUGGAAGAGGUUAGUGGAAUUGCGAGUGUAGAGGUGAAAUUCGUAGAUAUUCGCAGGAACACCAGUGGCGAAGGCGGCUAACUGGUCCAUAACUGACGCUGAGGUGCGAAAGCGUGGGGAGCAAACAGGAUUAGAUACCCCCGUAGUCCCUGUCUCUUAUAC